rnacentral:rRNA from 1 species
AGAGUUUGAUCCUGGCUCAGAACGAACGCUGGCGGCGCGCCUAACACAUGCAAGUCGAACGCGAAAGUGUAGCAAUACAUGAGUAAAGUGGCGCACGGGUGAGUAACGCGUAGGUGAUCUACCUUUGUGAUCGGGAUAACCAGCCGAAAGGUUGGCUAAUACUGGAUAGAGCGCAUAAUCUGUAAGGGGUUGUGCGGGAA